AUCAUUAACAGGUUCUAAUGGUGUGAGCUUGCUAGCAUUGUCAUUGACAAUUCAGAUGUAUCAGAUUUGUACUCCAAAAGUUCCACGGAUACUGAAUCCUACUUAUCAUCUGACAUUGAGUCAGACUGAAACAUAUAUACUUUGUGUUGAAAUAAUAAUUAUAGUAAAACAAUUCUUUCCAAACUUAAAUCUGGGCACAAAUACAUUCAAUAUUCAACAAUAAUUAUAAAAUGUAAUUUUAUUCCUACCUAUAGUACUAAGAUUUUGGUACCCCUAGAAGUUCUGUUGUUUUUUUCGUACCCUCCUCAGAGGUUCUGGGUUUUUUUCGUACCCCCCAUAAAUAUCCUCCACACCCCAUAGUAAAUACUUUAUGACCGGUCCAUUAAAAUAUUGUUCAGGCUUGUUUUCAUCAACAUUGUUACAGGCUAGGUGUUUUUUGCAGUGUAUCAAUAUUGGCGUGACCACCAUAAAUCUUGUGAGUACUUCGUGUAAGGACAGAAAAACUCGUCUACGUUGUCGUAGGUGAGUUGUGUGCUUGAGUUACGCAGUACAACUCAAGUUGUAAGCAGGUUGCAACAGUUUUAGGCAGAAGUUGUGUGGUGUAAAUUGGCCUUUACGAUGCUGUAAAGUUAAAUGAACGCCAUUACUCUAUGUAUAAAAUAAAUUAAAACAUUUUUGGGAGGUUAUUUUAUUGGAUUUUUUCGAACAUUCUACAUGUACCGUGACUGAGAUAUUUUUACCAUUGCACUCAUAAACAUUCAUUAUUAAUGCGCAGUGGAGGUUAACUAUACGGUUAUUCUAGCUUACCCUUAUUGUCAUGUUUCGAUAUGCAAAUUUAUCAAGGACGGUGAAUUGCGUGGGUAGAUCGUUACGAUAUAAAAAGUGUGAAGUUACUUUUAUAUAGUUAGUUGGGGUUGACUACAGAACAAACUUUUUAUAUCGUCAUGUUUCGAUAUGCAAAUUUAUCAAGGACGGUGAAUUGCGUGGGUAGAUCGUUACGAUAUAAAAAGUGUGAAGUUACUUUUAUAUAGUUAGUUGGGGUUGACUACAGAACAAACUUUUUAUAUCGUCAUGUUUCGAUAUGCAAAUUUAUCAAGGACGGUGAAUUGCGUGGGUAGAUCGUUACGAUAUAAAAAGUGUGAAGUUACUUUUAUAUAGUUAGUUGGGGUUGACUACAGAACAAACUUUUUAUAUCGUCAUGUUUCGAUAUGCAAAUUUAUCAAGGACGGUGAAUUGCGUGGGUAGAUCGUUACGAUAUAAAAAGUGUGAAGUUACUUUUAUAUAGUUAGUUGGGGUUGACUACAGAACAAACUUUUUAUAUCGUCAUGUUUCGAUAUGCAAAUUUAUCAAGGACGGUGAAUUGCGUGGGUAGAUCGUUACGAUAUAAAAAGUGUGAAGUUACUUUUAUAUAGUUAGUUGGGGUUGACUACAGAACAAACUUUUUAUAUCGUCAUGUUUCGAUAUGCAAAUUUAUCAAGGACGGUGAAUUGCGUGGGUAGAUCGUUACGAUAUAAAAAGUGUGAAGUUACUUUUAUAUAGUUAGUUGG
rnacentral:lncRNA from 1 species